UCUUGUUUCAGGAAUAUUGAACAGAGACGGAAGCCAAGUCCUUUGGUUACCCCUAGUGCUUCAUUCCUCUGGGCUCCAUCCAUACUUCCUGCCAGGAGAAGAGAACUAUGCAGUGGUGGACCUUGGCUCUCCUAGCCCUGCUGCCUUUGCUCCGAGGGGAUCCAACCACCACCCAAGUUUCUCCAGCAGAGAAUGAUAUCCCCAGACAAGAGGAAAUUAGUAAAGAAUCCAGUUCAAAUUUAGAGUUGGAUUCUAACCCUGGAUUUGGUGAGGAAUCAAGUGAAGAAAUCAUUGAAGGAGACUCCACUGGGAAAGCCAGUAGGGAAGAACACAGGAAAACCAGCCCCAAAACUAGAUGGAGAGCUACAAUGGAAAUCCAGAGAGGAUGCAAUCUGGGAGCACAGAAUUGAUUACAACUGGGAAUACAAUGAAGAUUUUACCUGGGAAUCCAGUGGACAGUCAAAUGAAGAGUAUAAUAAGGAAGUGAUUGAUGAUUCCAGCCCUGGGAUGACAGUGGUCAACACAACAGUGAGACCUAGCAUGAAGAUGGUAUCAAUUGUAACAAAGGAGCCAACACCUGUUCCUUAAAGAAGAAUGUAAACUGAUCGACAUGUCUUUUCUGGCACCAGAUGAAAAUGAACAGUUGUUAUUAUUACAGUUUUGAUUCAUGGUUUUUGGGUAGGAGGGAUUGGCUUUUCAAUUUUAUUCUCGAUGUGAAUGACCCCAGAAAGGCAUGGAACCGGCUUUGCCUAUACCAGGUGUAGGAUUGCCCGGAAUGUAUGUCUUAAAGUCAGGUACCUGUGCAUUAGGAGACAAAGUGCCUUCAGCAUUCUUAGAGCUCUUCCACAGGACCUGGGUUGAAUAACCUAUUCACCAAGCAGGCUAGGCAAACUUCCCAGAAACCAGAUUACUCUCUGGCUACUCCUGUUUCCUGCAUUCCCUCCUCUGUCUUGAUACAAAAAGGGAAGGAUUAUCCUUUUUACCCCAGCACAAAAGAGGAGGCAUCUGAAUUCUCUUGUGUUCCUGCUCUUCCCUCAUAUUAUUCUGUAAAAUGUGAUUUAAUUUUAAAAUAAUUAUUUUAGUGUUACCUUUCAAAAUAUUGUUGUGAACACAAGCCACCAUGUGAUACACACACUCACCCUUCACAGAACCCUCCCAUGUAACAAAGAAGUAUAGUUAAGCCAAACAAAGCAAUGCAUUGGUCCUGUCUUGUAGCACAUGGCUCAUUCUCCAUUUCUUUGGUGAUAGGAGGGAGGAGGCAUGCUUCGUAGAUAGGCCUCUGAAUUCAAGGUUGGUCCAUGUGGCAUCAGUCUUCUGAUGUCUUUCCAUGUUAAUUUCCUUGCCGUUAUCCAUUUGCAUAAAUUGUUUUUUUGGUUCUGUUUACUUUUUUUUUU